rnacentral:rRNA from 1 species
UACGUAGGGUGCAAGCGUUGUUCGGAAUUACUGGGCGUAAAGGGCGCGUAGGCGGGCCCGUAUGUCGAUUGUGAAAGCCCUGGGCUUAACCCGGGAAUGGCAGUCGAAACUGCGGGUCUUGAGUGCCUGAGAGGAUGGCGGAAUUCCCGGUGUAGAAGUGAAAUUCGUAGAUAUCGGGAAGAACACCUGAGGCGAAGGCGGCUAUCUGGCGGUGCACUGACGCUGAGGCGCGAAAGCGUGGGGAGCAAACAGG